UCCGGGAAACCGGGGCUAAUACCGGAUAAUAUUUUGAACUGCAUAGUUCGAAAUUGAAAGGCGGCUUCGGCUGUCACUUAUGGAUGGACCCGCGUCGCAUUAGCUAGUUGGUGAGGUAACGGCUCACCAAGGCGACGAUGCGUAGCCGACCUGAGAGGGUGAUCGGCCACACUGGGACUGAGACACGGCCCAGACUCCUACGGGAGGCAGCAGUAGGGAAUCUUCCGCAAUGGACGAAAGUCUGACGGAGCAACGCCGCGUGAGUGAUGAAGGCUUUCGGGUCGUAAAACUCUGUUGUUAGGGAAGAACAAGUGCUAGUUGAAUAAGCUGGCACCUUGACGGUACCUAACCAGAAAGCCACGCCUACCUACGUGCCAGCAG
rnacentral:rRNA from 1 species